AAUAGAUACCCGGGUAGUCCACGCCGUAAACGAUGAGUGCUAAGUGUUAGAGGGUUUCCGCCCUUUAGUGCUGCAGCAAACGCAUUAAGCACUCCGCCUGGGGAGUACGGUCGCAAGACUGAAACUCAAAGGAAUUGACGGGGGCCCGCACAAGCGGUGGAGCAUGUGGUUUAAUUCGAAGCAACGCGAAGAACCUUACCAGGUCUUGACAUCCUUAUGCCAUCUCUAGAGAUAGAGCUUUCCCUUCGGGGACAUAAGUGACAGGUGGUGCAUGGUUGUCGUCAGCUCGUGUCGUGAGAUGUUGGGUUAAGUCCCGCAACGAGCGCAACCCUUGAUCUUAGUUGCCAGCAUUCAGUUGGGCACUCUAAGGUGACUGCCGGUGACAAACCGGAGGAAGGUGGGGAUGACGUCAAAUCAUCAUGCCCCUUAUGACCUGGGCUACACACGUGCUACAAUGGAUGGUACAAAGGGCAGCGAAACCGCGAGGUUAAGCCAAUCCCCAUAAAACCCAUUCUCAGUUCGGAUUGCAGGC
rnacentral:rRNA from 1 species